rnacentral:rRNA from 1 species
CGUGCUUAACACAUGCAAGUCAACGGGAGUAUUGAAGAAGCUUGCUUUAGAGAUACUUUAGUGGCGGACGGGUGAGUAACGCGUGAGGAGCUGUCCUAUGCAGGGGGACAACAGCUGGAAACGGCUGCUAAUACCCCAUAAGCCGAGAGGUAAAAGGAUCAAUCCGGCAGAGGAGGUACUCGCGUCCUAUCAGGCUAGUAGGUGAGGUAACGGCUCACCUAGGCGAAGACGGGUAGCCGGCCUGAGAGGGCGAACGGCCACACUGGAACUGAGAUACGGUCCAGACUCCUACGGGAGGCAGCAGUGGGGAAUAUUGGGCAAUGGGGGGAAAAACCCCCUGACCCAGCGACGCCGCGUGGGUGAAGAAAUCCUUCGGGAUGUAAAGCCCUGUUGUAUGGGAAGAGCGGAAGACGGUACCAUACGAGGAAGCCCCGGCAAACUACGUGCCAGCCGCCGC